rfam:Schistosoma curassoni strain Dakar, Senegal genome assembly, scaffold: SCTD_scaffold0000453
AUCCAGCUGAUGAAGUCUUAAAUAGGACGAAACGCGUGUCAAACUGGAU